rnacentral:rRNA from 1 species
GAUGAACGCUGGCGGCGUGCCUAAUACAUGCAAGUCGAGCGAACGGACGAGAAGCUUGCUUCUCUGAUGUUAGCGGCGGACGGGUGAGUAACACGUGGAUAACCUACCUAUAAGACUGGGAUAACUUCGGGAAACCGGAGCUAAUACCGGAUAAUAUUUUGAACCGCAUGGUUCAAAAGUGAAAGACGGUCUUGCUGUCACUUAUAGAUGGAUCCGCGCUGCAUUAGCUAGUUGGUAAGGUAACGGCUUACCAAGGCAACGAUGCAUAGCCGACCUGAGAGGGGGAUCGCCACAAGGGGAAAGGAGACACGGCCAAGAAACAGACGGGAGGAAGAAGGGGGGAAUCUUCGGAAAGGGGAGAAAGCCGGACGGAGAAAGGCCGGGGGAGUGAAGAAGGUCUGAGGAGGGAAAAACUUUUUUAUGGGGAAAGAAAAGAUGAGUAAGAAAAUGGGCAAAUCUUGACGGUACAAAAAAAAAAAGCAACGGCUAACUGCGGG